rnacentral:rRNA from 1 species
GAUGAACGCUAGCUACAGGCUUAACACAUGCCAGUCGAGGGGAAACGACAUCGAAAGCUUGCUUUUGAUGGGCGUCGACCGGCGCACGGGUGAGUAACGCGUAUCCAACCUGCCCAUCACUUGGGAAUAACCUUGCGAAAGUAAGACUAAUACCCAAUGACAUCCCACGAAGACAUCUGAAUGGGAUUAAAGAUUUAUCGGUGAUGGAUGGGGAUGCGUCUGAUUAGCUUGUUGGCGGGGUAACGGCCCACCAAGGCAACGAUCAGUAGGGGUUCUGAGAGGAAGGUCCCCCACAUUGGAACUGAGACACGGUCCAAACUCCUACGGGAGGCAGCAGUGAGGAAUAUUGGUCAAUGGGCGAGAGCCUGAACCAGCCAAGUAGCGUGCAGGAGGACGGCCCUAUGGGUUGUAAACUGCUUUUAUAAGGGAAGAAAGUGGGUCUCGUGAGACUUUUUGCAUGUACCUUAUGAAUAAGGACCGGCUAAUUCCGUG